rnacentral:rRNA from 1 species
AACGUAGGACACAAGCGUUGUCCGGAUUUACUGGGCGUAAAGGAUGCGUAGGCGGACAUUUAAGUCAGAUGUGAAAUACCCGAGCUUAACUUGGGUGCUGCAUUUGAAACUGGGUGUCUAGAGUGCAGGAGAGGUAAGUGGAAUUCCUAGUGUAGCGGUGAAAUGCGUAGAGAUUAGGAAGAACACCAGUGGCGAAGGCGACUUACUGGACUGUAACUGACGCUGAGGCAUGAAAGCGUGGGGAGCAAACAGG